CAUGUCACAUGGGGAACAAAAGACUUUUUCGCAUGUCGAUGACAAGACAUGAGAAAACAGAUCUGCAAUGAUACCUACUUAUUGCUUGAUGGAGUAUCACAAAUACAUGAAGAUCGAUUUCAAUGAGAGACAGGAGAGCAAGAACAGCUAGCUGCUCACCAUACCAUCCCAUGUCACAUCUCACCAGCAGGCCCUGCACAUGCAAGAUGAGGCCGGCGCCAAUGCAUGUCAUAUCACAGCGACAUCUUGACGUGAACUCCAACAUUCCAUGCACACACAGAGUAGUCGGAGAAGCAAUCUUGUACUGUGGGAGCAGGAAGAAACCGCGUGCCCUUCCCUUCGAGCCGAAGACAUGGCAUCCUGAAGAUUCAACUCGUACAGCACCAUUUUCCACCAACCAUGAACUACACAAAACGGGCAGCAACUGUCAAUCCUACUAAAGUACAUGCGUGUCUACUUGCGGCAUGAAUCUUCCUCUGACAUGGACGCCGAAAGUGCGCAAAGAACGUCGCCGACACAAGUUUCAAUCUGAUUCAUCACCC
rnacentral:lncRNA from 1 species